rnacentral:tRNA from 1 species
UCCCCGAUAGCUCAAUCGGUAGAGCACUCGGCUGUUAACCGAGUUGUUGUAGGUUCGAGUCCUACUCGGGGAGACCA